ACGAACCGAGCGAACGUUAUUCGGAAUCACUGGGCUUAAAGGGCGCGUAGGCGGGCGAUCAAGUCAGGGGUGAAAGCCCCCAGCUCAACUGGGGAAGUGCCUCUGAUACUGGUCAUCUCGAGGGAGGUAGGGGCGUGCGGAACUUCCGGUGGAGCGGUGAAAUGCGUAGAUAUCGGAAGGAACACCGGUGGCGAAAGCGGCGCGCUGGACCUCUUCUGACGCUGAGGCGCGAAAGCCAGGGGAGCGAACGGGA
rnacentral:rRNA from 1 species